rnacentral:tRNA from 1 species
AUUUCCUUAGUAUAGCAAUAUAGAUGACUUCCAAUCAUCAGCCCUUGGUGAAAACCCAAGAGGAGAUA